GCCCAGGUGGUGGAAUUGGUAGACGCGCUACGUUCAGGUCGUAGUGGGGGAAACCCCGUGGGAGUUCGAGUCUCCCCCUGGGCACCA
rnacentral:tRNA from 2 species